rnacentral:rRNA from 1 species
GUGGGGAAUAUUGGACAAUGGGCGCAAGCCUGAUCCAGCUAUGCCGCGUGGAUGAAGAAGGCCUUAGGGUUGUAAAGUCCUUUCGUUGGUGAAGAUAAUGACGGUAACCAAAGAAGAAGCCCCGGCUAAUUUCGUGCCAGCAGCCGCGGUAAUACGAAAGGGGCUAGCGUUGUUCGGAAUUACUGGGCGUAAAGCGCACGUAGGCGGCCGUGUAAGAUGGGGGUGAAAUCCCUGGGCUCAACCCAGGAACUGCCUUCAUGACUGCAUAGCUCGAGGAUGUGAGAGGUUGGCGGAAUUCCGAGUGUAGAGGUGAAAUUCGUAGAUAUUCGGAAGAACACCAGUGGCGAAGGCGGCCAACUGGCACAUUUCUGACGCUGAGGUGCGAAAGCGUGGGGAGCAAACAGGAUUAGAUACCCUAGUAGUCC